GGAUGAAUAUUGGUCAAUGGGCGGUAGCCUGAACCAGCCAAGUAGCGUGAAGGAUGAAGGUUCUAUGGAUUGUAAACUUCUUUUAUAAAGGAAUAAAGUGAGGCACGUGUGCCUUUUUGUAUGUACUUUAUGAAUAAGGAUCGGCUAACUCCGUGCCAGCAGCCGCGGUAAUACGGAGGAUCCGAGCGUUAUCCGGAUUUAUUGGGUUUAAAGGGAGCGUAGAUGGGUUGUUAAGUCAGUUGUGAAAGUUUGCGGCUCAACCGUAAAAUUGCAAUUGAUACUGGCGUCCUUGAGUACAGUUGAGGUGGGCGGAAUUCGUGGUGUAGCGGUGAAAUGCUUAGAUAUCACGCAGAACUCCGAUUGCGAAGGCAGCAUACCGGCGCUCAACUGACGCUGAGGCACGAAAGCGUGGGGGAUCGAACAGGAUUAGAUACC
rnacentral:rRNA from 1 species